GCAGACCAGUACUGGAGUUCGUGGUGCUGGAAGACCGCCGCCCGACUCUGGGCCCCGGGUAGGAAACGUAAGUGCCAGGAAGUUAGCAGAGUGGUUCUUUGGCUGGCGCCUGAACCUCGCCAGUCUUCGUCGCCCCUCCCCUGCCAACGCCUACCCCGCUUCGACCGGAGGGUGCGCUGUCCCUCUGGUCACUGUGAUCACCGUCCAUGGCCGCCUGCGGAUACCCACGCCGUGCUCAGAAGAGGGCUCUGAGGCCACGCCCGCCUGUGGGGUCGGUGGCCGGGCUUCCGGGACCCCAGAGGGAGUCGUCGCGCGCUAGGUGGAGGGGACCCCUCUGGAAUCCGGCGAUCCCCGGGCGCAGAUGCAGGAGCGGGUGGGGAGAGCCGCGUUCCUGGCAUGUUUGCCUCGAGUUAGUCACGAAGGAAUCGAAGAGAGCCUUAGUCUUCGAGGCUUUUCCCUUCCUGUGAGCCCCUUUGAGGCCAGCACAUUGAUUUUUUUUUCUUUCGCAGAACAAUUUCGGACCUCCUGGGGUCUAUGCUAGGUAUGAGGUGUAUCUUUGCCCUCCAUCAAGUAGCAAAGAUGGACAUGUAAACAAAUUUCGACACUGUGAUGACUGCCACAAAAAGCAGCAUUAUGAGGUUGAAUGUAAAAGGAUAACCUUAGCGGCGGCGGGGGCCGGAGGAUGAAGGAAGGCUUCCUGAGGUAGGCGCUGGUUGAAACUGAAGUUGGAGAGAGCAAGUGGCAUUUGCUGAAGUGCAUUUCCGGUAGAAAACUCCAGUGGUCCCUCACCUGACUGAGUGGCGCAGUCAGAGAUAAAUGGAACAGAGUCUACAAAUAAACAUUUUAUAAAGAUGAUCCUUCAAUACAUAUUCUACAGCCCAGUUAAAAUGUGAGAGGCCAUGAUCUACAGACAGCCAUUUAUAAAGGUGGAUCAGGGCCGGACACGGUGGCUCAACGUCUGUAAUCCCGGCACUGUGGGAGGCCAAAGCGGGAGGAUCGCUUGAGCCCAGGAGUUCGAGACCAACCUGGCCAACAUGGUGAGACCCCAUCUUUACAAAAAAAUAUAUAUAUCCAGGCAUAGUGGUGUGCACCUGUGGUCCUGUGGUCCCAGCUACUCAGGAAGCUGAGGCAGUUGAGGCUGCAGUGAGCCACGUUCUGGCCACUACACUCCAGCCUGGGCAUCAAAGUGACAAGACCAAAAAAAAAAAAAAAUGUGGAUUGGAAGGAGGCAAGAAAGAAGUCAGGAAAAGGGUGGAAUGUAAGUCCCUAAGGACACAAUCUUACUCACAAUUGUAUCUCCAACAUUUGGCAUAAUGCCUAAUACGUAAGUAUUUUAUGAAUUAAUUAAACGAGAACACAAGCCUAAAUUAAGGCAAUGGCAAUGGAGAAGAAGAAACCAACUUGAGAAAUAUUUAAAGGUCAUUGUCAAUGGAACUUAGUGACUUUAAUGGUUAAUUUUAUCUAUCAACUUGGCUAGGCGAUGCUACCCAUGUUACUCAGUUUUUGGUCAAACACUAGUCUAGUUGUUGCUAUGAAUUGUAUUUGUUAGAUGUGAUUAACAUUUAAAUCAGCAGACUUUGAUUAAAGUACAUUACCCUCUAUAAUGAGGGUGGGCCGCAUCCGGUCAGUUCAAAUUAAAACGAGACCCUUAAGAAGAAGCAAUUCAGCCUCCAGACUGCAGCGUCAAAUCUCCCUGGGUCUCCAGGCUGUUUGUCUGCCCUGCAGAUUUCAGACUUGCCAGCUCCCAGAAUAAUGUGAGCCAAUUCCUUAAAAUAAAUCUCUUUCUGCAUAUACACAUCCUAUUGAUUCUGUUUCUCUGGAGAACCCGUACUAAUAUAGUGUCUGACUAGAUAUGAAGGAGGAGGGGAAGGGAGAAAUAGAUAGACGAUGCCUUUGGAUAUUGAGUGACACUUAUCUAGUUGCUUAAGUCAAAAACCUGAAAACUGGUUAGGCACGCCUAUUACGGGCUCACGCCUGUAAUCCCAGCACUUAGGGAGGCUGAGGCAGGCAGAUCAUUUGAAGUAAUUCAAGACCAGCCUGGCCAACAUGAUGAAACCCCAAGACCACUAAAAAUACAAAAAUUAGCCGGGCGUGGUGGCACAUGCCUGUAACCCCAGCUCCUCAGGAGGCUAAAGCAGGAAAAUUGCUUGAACCCAGGAAACAGAGGUUGCAGUGAGCCGAGAUUGUGCUACUCCACUCCAGCCUGGGAGAGACUCCAUCUGAAAACAAACAACAAAAAAAAAUGCUGGGCACAGUGGCUCACGCCUGUAAUCCCAGCACUUUAGGAGGCUGAGGCGGGCGGAUCACCUGAGGUCAGGAGUUCAAGACCAGCCUGGCCAAUGUGGCAAACCCCAUCUCUACUAAAAAUAAAAAAAAAAUUAGCUGGGCAUGUUGGCGGGCACCGUAAUACCAGCUACUCGGGAAGAUGAGGCAGGAGAAUCACUUGAACCGGGAGGCAGAAGUUGCAGUGAGCUAAGAUCGCGCCAUUGCACUUUAGCCUGGGCGACGAGCGAAACUCCCUCUCAAAAAAAAAGAAGAAGGCUGGGCGCGGUGGCUCAUGCCUGUAAUCCCAGCACUUUGGGAGGCCGAGGUGGGUGGAUCACUUGAGGUCAGUAGUUCGAGACUAGCCUGGACAUGGUGAAACCUGUCUCUACUAAAAAUACAAAAAUUAGCCAGGUAUAGUGGCUCAUGCCUAUAAUUCCAGCUACUUGGGAGGUUGAGGCAGGACAAUGGUUUGAACCCAGGAGGCAGAGGUUGUAGUGAGCUGAGAUUGUGCCACUGCACUCCAGCCUGGAUGACACUCUAUC
rnacentral:lncRNA from 10 species